CCGGUACCUUGUGAUGUUAUAGACUAGAGGUUUGAGUCGGUACCUUGUGAUGUUAUAGACUAGGGGUUUGAGCCGGUACCUUGUGAUGUUAUAGACUAGAGGUUUGAGCCGGUACCUUGUGAUGUUAUAGACUAGAGGUUUGAGCCGGUACCUUGUGAUGUUAUAGACUAGGGGUUUGAGCCGGUACCUUGUGAUGUUAUAGACUAGGGGUUUGAGCCGGUACCUUGUGAUGUUAUAGACUAGA